GAUGAAGAACGUAGCGAAAUGCGAUAAGUAAUGUGAAUUGCAGAAUUCAGUGAAUCAUCGAAUCUUUGAACGCACAUUGCGCCCGCUAGUAUUCUGGCGGGCAUGCCUGUCCGAGCGUCAUUUCAACCCUCAAGCCCCCGGGCUUGGUGUUGGGGAUCGGCGAGCCUCCGCGCCCGCCGUCCCCUAAAUCUAGUGGCGGUCUCGCUGUAGCUUCCUCUGCGUAGUAGCACACCUCGCACCGGGAAACAGCGCGGCCACGCCGUUAAACCCCCAACUUCUGAACGUUUGACCUCGGAUCAGGUAGGAAUACCCGCUGAACUUAAGCAUAUCAAUAAGCGGAGGA
rnacentral:misc_RNA from 1 species